rnacentral:lncRNA from 1 species
AAAAAAAGUAGGAAACUCCGGAUUGUAAAUACAAGAGUAAUGUUCUGGCUUCAUGGUGACACCGUGAAUUUGCUAAAAUUGAUGAACAGCAGAUGUCCUGAAACUUGUGAAAACAUCUGCAACAAUCCCUUGAAGGUCAACCUACAACUGCCCAGGACCACAGCCACACUCAGCAGAGCCUUUUCCUUGCACUGGUCCUCUCUCAGUCCAUGCAUGGUCAGAUGCGGAAAUUCAACACAGG